rnacentral:misc_RNA from 1 species
AAAUGCGAUAAGUAGUGUGCAUUGCAGAAUUCAGUGAAUCAUCGAAUCUUUGAACGCACAUUGCGCCCCUUGGUAUUCCAUGGGGCAUGCCUGUUCGAGCGUCAUUUGUACCCUCAAGCUCUGCUUGGUGUUGGGUGUUUGUCCCGUCUCCGCGCGUGGACUCGCCCCAAAGUGAUUGGCAGCCGGCGUACUGGUCCCGGAGCGCAGCACAUGUCGCGCAAACGAGUGCCUUGGUACGGCGGCGUCCAUAAGCCCCUCUCUCACGCUCUUGACCUCGGAUCAGGUAGGGAUACCCGCUGAACUUAAGC